GUUGUUGCGGUUAAAACGCUCGUAGUUGGAGAUCUGUCAAAAAAUACUGGUCCGCCCUCGUGGUGAGUACAUGGUAAGUUUUUGUCAUCAUCUUGGGGAACUUGUUUGCACUUUACUGUGUGACUUGAGAUCCAGGACCUUUACUUUGAGGAAAUGAGAGUGUUUCAAGCAGGCGGAAGCCCUGAAUACGUUAGCAUGGAAUAAUAGCAUCGGACCUCCUUCCAAAGCUGUUGGUUCAUUGGAAAGAGGUAAUGGUAAACAGGGAUAGUUGGGGGCAUUCGUAUUUAACUGUCAGAGGUGAAAUUCUUGGAUUUGUUAAAGACGAACUACUGCGAAAGCAUCUGCCAAGGAUGUUUUCAUUGAUCAAGAACGAAAGUUAGGGGAUCGAAGACGAU
rnacentral:rRNA from 1 species